rnacentral:misc_RNA from 1 species
AGUCAUCAACCCCAGACCGUUUUGUUGCGGUCGACGGUUGGAUCUGGGGCGUGCUGCCGUGAGGCUGCUCCCCUCAAAUGCGUCGGUUGGACCUGUGGGUCGGACUCGAAUGGGCGUUGUACCAUCCUCGCUCUCCCGAGAAGUUCCCCUCUGCGUGUCCUUCCAAGACCUGCCUCUGGAGUGGCGGUCAACUGUACUUUGAA